rnacentral:rRNA from 1 species
UACGUAGGGGGCAAGCGUUGUCCGGAUUUAUUGGGCGUAAAGAGCGUGUAGGCGGCCAGGGAGGUCCGUUGUGAAAACUCGAGGCUCAACCUCGAGACGCCGAUGGAAACCCCCUGGCUAGAGUCCGGAAGAGGAGAAUGGAAUUCCUGGUGUAGCGGUGAAAUGCGCAGAUAUCAGGAAGAACACCCGUGGCUAAGGCGGUCUCUAGUACGGUACUGACGCUGAGACGCGAAAGCGUGGGGAGCGAACAGG